CUAAUCGAAAGGCCCAAAACUUCCAAGUUUUCAGUUCGCAUUGCGGAUUUGGGGCCCGCAUUCUCAGCGAAGCUCUAAAGUCCGGCCGUGCCGUGCCGACUAGGUGGCUGCAGAUCUUCGCGAGCUUGUUAUUCCGGCGUGAGCUUGUUAAUUUAGGGCCAAGAAUAUCCCCUCACUGCCCUGUGCCAUCACCAUCCUCCCAAUAUGCUUUUUGGUCGGGUGUGAUAGACAUUACACAUGCAAUAUAUUGGUGAUGAUACAUGCCAUAUUUCACCGAUCACUAAAUCAAUCCUCAAAGCUCUGCUUUUCAAGUACUUAAUCUUAUUUCUCGAAAUUUGAUAGGUCAAAUGGUGGGGAAAUCUUCACUUUGCUCCACUCAAUUAGGCUGCAAAACUGGUUACAUAAUGUAUUGUAAUGAUCAUAUUACAAAGUGGAGUAAUGUAGUAAUCAGUUGGUGGAGGAUUGGUCAUUAAACAUUAUAAAUAGUGUCACCCAUAUACACAAGUGUGCAUCACCCACCAUCUGCAUUAUUUAUAUAAAAAAUCACUGCCAAUUUGACCUCAAUUAACAGAUCAACAACCG